UGCAGCUGCAGCCAUCUUGAGUCUGUCAGUUUCUGGCAUUCUUAACACCUUCAGGAUAGCAUCUGCAAAUUCUUCCACAUUCUGGGCAAAAAAUCCAGUUUUCUGCCCAUCUUCUUCCAAAACAAUGUCCAUCUUUGGGCAAGCAGAAUUAUGAGCUGAGAAGUCAAACAAAAUGAGGAGCAUGAUCAAUUCAUUCACAUUAAGCAUUUAAUGCUAAACUCAACUAAGCCUUUGGGGUCGGCUAUAUAGAUUCUUUUUACGAUUUUGGAUUAAAUCCUCAGA
rnacentral:misc_RNA from 1 species